UUUGUUUUCCAAAAAGUUUUCAUAUCGAAAUCAUUAUGCAGGUUGUUUCUCAAACCCAUUGAACAUAAUGAUCGGACGUCAUCUCCCAAUUUUGAAUUCCCUGUAUUCGAAGUAGAAGAAGAUGAUGUUGAAGGGAUUCCUGACGAGAUUUCCCGACUUCUUGAGCAAGAAAAGAAGAUCACUCAGCUGCAUCUCGAGAAUCAGCAGAACAGCCAACUGGGGCAUCAA
rnacentral:lncRNA from 1 species